UACGUAGGGGGCGAGCGUUGUCCGGAUUUACUGGGCGUAAAGCGCGCGUAGGCGGAACUUCAAGUCCGGUCUGAAAGCCCCCGGCUCAACUGGGGAGGGUCAUUCGAUACUGAUCGACUCGAAGGCAGGAGAGGGUAGUGGAAUUCCCGGUGUAGUGGUGAAAUGCGUAGAUAUCAGGAGGAAUACCGGUGGCGAAAGCGACUCUCUGGACGGCAACUGACGCUGAGGCACGAAAGCGUGGGGAGCAAACAGG
rnacentral:rRNA from 1 species